AUUAUAUAAACCUAUGUGUAAUUAUAAUUAUAGAAUCUGUGUGUAUAUUCAUUAUAAUUAUGGAAUCUGUGUGUGUACAGUAUGUGUGUAUAUUCAUAAUAAUGAUUUAAACCAGUUUAUGUCAGGAUGCUUUGAACUUGUGUAUGUAUAGAUUAUAAUCCAGUUGUGUAUGUAUAGAUUAUAAACCUGUGUAUGUAUAUACAUUAUGUCAUUAACAUGAUUUAAACCUGUGCAUGUUAUUAUAAUUAUAUGACCUGUGCAUGUCAUUAUAAUUAUAUAACCUGUGCAUGUCAUUAUAAUUAUAUAACCUGUGUAUGUUGAUUAUAAUUAUAUAACCUGUGUAUGUCCAUUAUAAUUAUAUCACUUGUGUAUGUUCUUUAUAAUUAUAUAACCUGUGUAUGUCCAUUAUAAUUAUAUAACCUGUGUAUGUAUAUUAUAAUUAUAUAAACUUGUGUAUGUAUAUACACAGGGUUAUAAUGAUAUGAAGUAAUAACAUCAUUUAGUUUUGACAGGAUAUAAUACACAAUAUAAUUAUUAUAUUAUAGUUUUGUUUUGAAGAGUUAAACAUUGCUUAAUGUCUGUCAAGUUUCUGGAAAUGAUCUCCAAUUGAUAUUAAAUUACUCAGAUAAGAGCCCAGCUAUUAACCCUUUGGCUUCCUGAAACCACCUGUUUCACUGAAUGGGGGGGGGGGUAUAUUAUUGUUUUGUUUAGGAGAGUUGAUGAUUGUUUUCUUUCAUGUAUUGUUUGUGUUUAUCAUGUGUAGUUGAUCAGGUCCAAACCUUUCUUUCAUUUGGUUACGUUUUGAUGGGUGUUGUUCAGGACAUUGAAUACCAUCUGAUAUAUUUUCUUCUUUUUGAAUGUAGUCCAGAAAGGACCUAGUUUGUGUUGAGUAGAGUCAAACCCCAUCUUAUUUUGUAUAGCAAAAUAGGAUCAUUAAAUGAAAUGAAAUGGGGUUUAACGUCCUCCUGUUCUGCUCCAACUGGGCUAAGAAAGAUGGGCAUAUGCCAUACACGGUGCUAUGAGGGUAAUUUUGCCCGAACAGCAGCACUACAGCCUACUCUUAAAUAGAAUUCCAACUGUCAAGGGAUCUUUUACGUAUGUGCAUGCUAAUGUGUACACAGGACCUCGGUUUUUUGUCCCAUCCGAACGACUAGACAGCUGUCCUUGUCAGUCCCUCCAGGCUAGCGAGCCAGCACCUUACCCACCAUGACCCCAAAAUAGGUACAUAAUCAAAGAAAACUAUUUAUGGAUAAGAAUUGUAAUAAACCACAAUUAUUGUAGAAGCCACGGUAGCUCAGUCAGUAAGACUUUUGCUCGCUAAGAAUAGGCCGUAGUGCCACUGUAUGAUGUAUGCCCGUCUUCAUUAACCUAGUCACAUCAGAACACUAGGAUGUUAUUAAAUUUCAAUUCAUUUUUUUUUAUCUGAGUAUCAUCUGAUUACAUAAUCCUUGUUAAUUAUAGAUGCUAUUGUGCUUAAAAUCUGUAAAAAAAAAAUAAACAUUAUCUAUCGAUUUUGCUGAAGUUUAGUGUAAUGUCAUAUCUCCUCCCUCUUAAUAUUCCCUACAAACGUCUAGUCUCCACGGGAACGGGUAGAGGUGCGAAAGUACAAUAGCAUCUUAACCUACACUAAGGGUGACUGUUGUUUAUCUGUUCCGGGUUGGCGACCCCCAACACAUACCUAUGUUACUGAUAAAGUUGAGAGAAUACUCUUCAAAACGUUGACUAAAUAUAUAAGCUGUUUUCCAUAAGGCAUCAUUUAAAAAGAUAAAAACCAAAGUGGUUUAACUAAAAAGAAAUAAUUUAAUAUAACUAGAGUCAUAAAGAAUAAUACAAUUGGUGUAUGUAGUAAAUGUUGGACACCAUAAUUAUAUAUAUCAGAAAAAUCUGCUGUAAUCAUAUUAUGCUUGUCAUUAAUAAAAACAAAACAAUAUUUGUGUUUUACAUGGGGGUUACUAAUGUCCAAAAGAAAGUAUACACACUAAAAAUAUUAAGUUUUGUUUAAAUCAAAAAAAAAAUGUGAUAAAACUACACUGAACAUGUCUCGUGCUUCCAAACUCAAUAUUUCUAAGCAAAUAAAUAGCAAAACAAACCGCAUACAAUGGAAAAACGACUUUGUUUGAAGCAAGACGAAAUUUACAGUGUAUACUUUCUUUUGGACAUUAGUAUAUAUAUGAUUAUGGAAAAGAAGCAAUAAAAACCAGAAUAGAAUUAAAAUAAAAAAACAUUUUUUGACUUCCUUUGAGACAGUGGUUCCCAAGCUUUCGUUGGUUGCGACCCCAUUUCAGAAACCAUCAUCUGAUCACGGCCCUCUCGAAGAAAGGGUCACCUUUUACUAUCAAACAUCAUCAUUAUUUAUAGAUCAAAAUGUUAUAAUGAGAGACUGAGGAAAGAAAUUGUGGUUGUGAGAGAGGAAAGAUGAUUGACAAUGUGGCAAGAGGUUUAUUGAUCAGCGAUUUACAUGCUUUUCAUGAAAACAUAGCAUUUCUUCAAAAGUUUCAGAGAAGUCUGCCACGACAUCACGAAAAGUGCUCCUGGGGUCGCAAUCCAGAGGUUGGGAAUCCAGGCUCCAAGAUUUGACUGGUGAGAAAGCAAAAAAAUGAAGGAAUAUUACAAAAA